rnacentral:rRNA from 1 species
CAGUAGCCACGGGAAUACGGAGGGUGCAAGCGUUAAUCGGAAUAACUGGGCGUAAAGCGCACGCAGGCGGUUUGCUAAGCUAGAUGUGAAAGCCCCGGGCUCAACCUGGGAACAGCAUUUAGAACUGGCGAACUAGAGUCUUGUAGAGGGGGGUAGAAUUCCAGGUGUAGCGGUGAAAUGCGUAGAGAUCUGGAGGAAUACCGGUGGCGAAGGCGGCCCCCUGGACAGAGACUGACGCUCAGGUGCGAAGGCGUGGGGAGCAAACAGGAUUAGAUACCCCAGUAGUCCCUGUCUCUUAUAC